rnacentral:rRNA from 1 species
CGGGAACGUGAAGAACCUUACCAGCUCUUGACAUUCGGNGUAUGGGCAUUGGAGACGAUGUCCUUCAGUUAGGCUGNCCCCAGAACAGGUGCUGCAUGGCUGUCGUCAGNUCGUGUCGUGAGAUGUUGUNUUAAGUCCCGCAACGAGCGCAACCCUCGCCCUUAGUUGCCAGCAUUUAGUUGGGCACUCUAAGGGGACUGCCGGUGAUAANNCGAGAGGAAGGUGGGGAUGACGUCAAGUCNUCAUGGCCCUUACGGGNUGGGCUGCACACGUGNUACAAUGGUGGUGACAGUGGGCAGCGAGACAGNGAUGUCGAGCUAAUCUCCAAAAUUCAUANCAGUUAGGACNNCACUAUGUU